CUUUGUGCUUUGGUUUCCUGUCUUCUGUUAUUAGACCUGAGAUGUGACUGCUCUGUGCUGUUGCUGAUGACUCCAGUUAAUCCUACAAGACAUGCUGUGACACCAGCAGAGAUGAGUCCUUCAUCACAGAUGGUUGGUCAGUGACCUGCAGGUCGAAGGUCAUUGCAUCUCCAGCCCACAUCCACUGCCACUGUACUGAAGUUUCCCACAUUCCCGGCUGUGUGUAGUAGAGGUUCCAUUCAGUUUAAUGCUGAUGAAUAAAUGAGCAGCAGCUCUGAGUUUGACUCACCGAGGAGCAGAGAGACA